UCCUGGGGGUAACUGUCUGGGAAGCUCACCAUGAUGUCGACUUCUUUCAGAUCGAAGGGCUGUAAGUUAAAAUGCUGAGUUAGUUAUCAUCUGGACCAGAUAGUACUGUAGUAGGGUCAUUUCCAUCUAUGUAACCUAUUAUCACACCAAAGCCUGACG